ACUUUCCAAACAGGACCCACACGUUUGCUUGUUUGACAUGUUAAAGAAGCGUACACGCUGUUUUUGGGUCUGUAGCUCAGUUGGUUAGAGCGCACCCCUGAUAAGGGUGAGGUCGGCCGUUCAAAUCGGCCCAGACCCACCAGAACAUCGCCGCUGCACUGAUAUGCUCUAUCGGUAGGGUGGCGAUGAUGACUGGAAGAGCGGUAAAGAUACUGCUUAACGGUACUGUUUGGUGCUAUUUGACGGUAUUAAAGGGGCCGUAGCUCAGCUGGGAGAGCGCCUGCCUUGCACGCAGGAGGUCAGGAGUUCGAUCCUCCUCGGCUCCACCAAUAUCGACAGAAGUGAUAAUCAAGCCGUUCUGAUUUGACGGUUUGCUUCUGACUUUUGUCAGUGCCUGAUCCUUGCGAUCGGUAUGCUCUUUAACAAUCUGGGAAAUGAGAAGUCCAAGUAUUCCAAUGGAAUACAAGCGUUAGAGACUUAUAUCUGACACUUGUGUCUAUUAGGUGAAUCGUUGGUGUUACAGCCGUAUGGCUUGAGCAGUUGAUGAGAGUUGACUGUUUUGGGUUAUAUGGUCAAGUGACGAAGCGACACG
rnacentral:tRNA from 1 species